rnacentral:misc_RNA from 1 species
UCCGAAAUUUGAGUUAUGAAUUUAGUUUUCAGAUACAUGGAUAGGCAGGUGAAGUGGUCAACUCUAUAUACUUGCCUAACGUUUUAUCUUUUUUGAUAAAACAAUUUUCAAUGGGUAGUGGUGACUGGUGAGUAGUAUUGUUAGAGACAAAGUUAUUGAAAUUAUAACAAUGCAAAAAGGUUUUUAUAAUCUUUGGGCCUCCAUACCUAAUAACUUAGUAUUUCGGGUUGGGUUGUGUCUCUCAUAGUAUGAUGGAUCAUGGAUGAUUUGAAGAAAUUUUUACUGAAAAGAAUUGCAAAAUGAGGUGCAGCUAAAUUUAAAGGUAAAGAGAAACUCCACUUUUUGGAACACCAUAGUUAGGGGUGUGCAUAAUUUGGUUGAAACUGAAUAAACCGACCGAACCUAUUUAAUUCCAAAAUUUGGUUCAGUUUUCUCAGUAUAUUGGUUCAAUUCGGUACUUUAUUUUAAGAAAUUUG